UAGCGACAGGCUAACACAUGCAAGUCGAGGGCGAGCACGGGAGUAGCAAUACAACGUGGUGGCGACCGGCGCACGGGUGAGUAACGCGUAUGCAACCUACCUAUCAGAGGGGAAGUAACCCGGCGAAAGUCGGACGUAAUACCGCAGUAAAAACAGGGGCACCGCAUGGUGAUAUUUGUUAAAGAAAUUCGCUGAUAGAUGGGCAUGCGUUCCAUUAGGUAGUUGGUGAGGUAACGGCUCACCAAGCCGACGAUGGAUAGGGGAACUGAGAGGUUGGUCCCCCACACUGGUACUGAGACACGGACCAGACUCCUACGGGAGGCAGCAGUGAGGAAUAUUGGUCAAUGGACGAGAGUCUGAACCAGCCAAGUCGCGUGCAGGAAGAAUGUCCUAUUAGGGAUUGUAAACUGCUUUUGCAGGGGAAUAAAGUGCAUCACGUGUGAUGUUUUGUAUGUACUCUGCGAAUAAGGAUCGGCUAACUCCGUGCCAGCAGCAGC
rnacentral:rRNA from 1 species